CUGGCUCAGGAUGAACGCUAGCGGCAGGCUUAACACAUGCAAGUCGGAGGGGCAGCGGGAUGUAGCAAUACAUUGCCGGCGACCGGCGGAUGGGUGCGUAACGCGUAUGCAACCUACCUUAUACAGGGGAAUAACCUUUCGAAAGGGAGACUAACACCCCAUGGUAUUGAUUUAAGGCAUCUUAGAUUAAUUAAAUAUUUAUAGGUAUAAGAUGGGCAUGCGUAUGAUUAGCUAGUUGGUAAGGUAACGGCUUACCAAGGCGACGAUCAUUAGGGGUUCUGAGAGGAAGGUCCCCCACACUGGUACUGAGACACGGACCAGACUCCUACGGGAGGCAGCAGUGAGGAAUAUUGGUCAAUGGGCGCAAGCCUGAACCAGCCAUGCCGCGUGCAGGAAAAGACGGCCUUAUGGGUUGUAAACUGCUUUUACAUAAGACUAACCGUAUAUUUGCGAAUAUACCUGAAUGUAUUAUGAGAAUAAGGAUCGGCUAACUCCGUGCCAGCAGCCGC
rnacentral:rRNA from 1 species